UACGAAGGAUUCGAGCGUUAUCCGGAUUUAUUGGGUUUAAAGGGUGCGUAGGUGGACUAAUAAGUCAGUGGUGAAAGCCCGGAGCUCAACUCCGGAACUGCCAUUGAUACUGUUAGUCUUGAGUACAGUUGAGGUGGGCGGAAUGUGUCAUGUAGCGGUGAAAUGCUUAGAUAUGACAUAGAACACCAAUUGCGAAGGCAGCUCGCUACACGAAUAUUGACUCUGAGGCACGAAAGCGUGGGGAUCAAACAGG
rnacentral:rRNA from 1 species